UGGAGAUCAAAGAGAAGACAGAACAUAAUAAUUGUCAUAAUGACUUCUCCUCUCAAAAUUAAAUUGUGCUAUUUCUUCGUGGACACCGGACACCACCCGAUCUAAAGAAUCCUCUAAGAUCUCUUGGGCGGUUGUCUUGGAUUCUGCGGUCCUCAAUGGCUGGAGAGAUAGCUCAGGGAGUAUAUAGGAAAAAAGAUUAAAUAAUUCAGUCAUCCAGCUUCAAACUCACAACCUCAAAAACUCAUUAAGAAAUAGGAUUUGGGAAUUUGGGAUCGUAAGGUGGAAGGGCUUUCACGGUGUAUGUGAUUAUAACUUUUUCUUACGUGCACAUUUAAAGGUCAAUUGGGAGAUUAUAUUUCAAUGCAGGGAUUGUUAUUGUCUGUUUUUGGUUCACUAGGCUUUAUCUGACUAUCUCAACUCCCGGAUCAGCAGAUUCAAUAUUAUACAUCUCAGCAUAAAUAGUUAGUUCAGAGAUCCUAUGUUCUCAUCUCUGCAUUUUCAUUAUCAAUCAGAUUCAGUUGAGAUUGUGUGCUGCAAGUUACGGGAAACCAGAAAAAAACAACAACAGUGGGUCUUCAAAAUCCCAUGAUGGAGUUCAAGUUGUGCAUCUUAAAACAGAAACAAGCAUCUCGCUACAAGGAACAUACUUAAAGGUUCUGCUCUCCCGUCAGUUGGUGUUGAAGUUAUCAGAAUUUUGGAAAUUUUUGUUUCUGUGAUUUGGGUCUAGUAAUUUUUGAAUCACUGGGUUCUCUAGUAAUAUUUAUUUCAUGCUGUCUUUAGAUGAAUAUGUCAAAGAAACAGUGGAGUUGAUACAGCUAUAAAUUCACCAUCUUAGAGUCGAGCCUAGUCCUUGUUUGGGUCAUAGAAAAGUGUAAUCACCAGCUCAGGCUAGGACAUGCUCGAGGUUGACACCCCUUUGAAGAUUGGACCAUGUAAUCGUCAUUCAUAUGAUUGGUUGUGUCUAUAGUAACUCAAGUAAACUUCAGUGAGUUGAAUCUGGUAGAUCGAGCUUUAUGUAACAGAGAAGUUUCAAAUCUUGUCUAGAAUCAUAUUUAUUUUUUAUGUAACAAGAAAGUUUCAAAUCUUGU